rnacentral:rRNA from 1 species
UACGUAGGUGGCAAGCGUUAUCCGGAUUUACUGGGUGUAAAGGGCGUGUAGGCGGGAUUGCAAGUCAGAUGUGAAAAUUAUGGGCUCAACCCAUAACCUGCAUUUGAAACUGUAGUUCUUGAGUACUGGAGAGGCAGACGGAAUUCCUAGUGUAGCGGUGAAAUGCGUAGAUAUUAGGAGGAACACCAGUGGCGAAGGCGGUCUGCUGGACAGCAACUGACGCUGAGGCGCGAAAGCGUGGGGAGCAAACAGG